GUAAAUCUUAUUUCAGUUGGUUAGAGCGUGUGGUUUUUAAACCACAAGGUCAAAGGUUCAAGCCCUUCCUUCAGCA